rnacentral:snRNA from 1 species
GGAUGUGAAGGCGAUCUGGCUGCGACAUCUGUCACCCCAUUGAUCGCCAGGGUUGAUUCGGCUGAUCUGGCUGGCUAGGCGGGUGUCCCCUUCCUCCCUCACCGCUCCAUGUGCGUCCCUCCCGAAGCUGCGCGCUCGGUCGAAGAGGACGGCCUUCCCCGAAUAGAGACAGACCAGUCUUGGGUUGAGGGUAUACGAGUAGCUGCGCUCCCCUGCUAGAACUUCCAAACAAGCUCUCAAAAAUUUUAUAGCUUGAUUCUGAUUUCCAUUCUCAUUGAUGGAAUGGUAAAAAGAAAGGUUCCAACUAGAAAUGCGACACAGAAACAAAUAGCUGAAUAUUUUGU